UUCCAGAGACAAAAACAGGAAGCGAAAUAAGAAAUGGUUGCCUUGGAAGAAUAGGACUGAAAAUAUGUGUUUCAUAAGGGAGGGUGAUGCUCAAAGUUAACUUAAUGUACUCAAGGUCUAGCAAAAAUAGGAAGUAGACAGAUAACGUAAUGUUUUGACGUACUUGUGAUGCAACAGUCCCUUUCCCCCUUUUCUCACUGUUUUCUGUCUCUCGUCGUCUUACAAGAAACGACCCGUUGCAGAUCUUCUGUCUAACUUCAUCCCAGAUGAUGAAGCUACUCUGUGUUAUCCCCCACUGUAGACACGGCUGCCUUGUGUGUGUUCUCACAGUCCUGUGUUUGACACUGUUGAUAUGCUCAUGGUGCACAGGGAGGGAAAGAGACACCUCGAAGGAAUGAAAUGGUUUUAUGGCAAAAAAAGAAUCACCACAUGAAAUGGAUAAGAGAUGACAUCAAGACGAUGUUAAAUCAGAUGAUCAAAAGUGAAGGAUUGGAAUUGUCAGGAUGUGGCCUAGAAGACAGAAAAGAUCAAAUCAACAAUAUCAACUCAUACGUCCGUUAGGACAGGAAGUAUUGACUCCAUAGCAACAACUAGUACAACAGGGACAGACUAAAGAAAAAGGAGAGACAAAGAAGAGGAAGAACGGAUCCAGCACUGAAUGUGAGCCUCAAACAGAUUAGAGAUGCAAUACAUUUAAACUGAACUGCGUGCGAGUUGACGAUAUUGUCUCUAGUC